AGGUCUGAUGGGGAUGGAAUGAUCUUCCAGAGUGCAGAGAAGACUGGCAGGCAGUCAUCAAGCUCUCUGCUGGUGUUUGGCUGCCUGUGCAGCACACUGCUCUUUCCUCAAGUCGCUCACAAAUCCCCCAGAUUUUGUUUGAACCUGUUUUUUGUUGAGUUCUUGGCAUGUGAAGGCAACAGCAGGUUAAUACGCCAUUUGUCGACGACUGACCCGGAGGACGCCCUGAAUGUAAUGGGACCAUCUGACCUCCUGCUCCUGUGCCUUUCCGACCAUGGUAGACCAUGUAUCCCGGAACUGUGAGCCACAGUGGACUGUGCAUCCUGGAACUGUGAGCCAGGGCAAACCUAUCCUUCCUUCAACUGCUUCUUGUCUUCUGUCACAGCAACAAAGAAGUGACUAAUAACUCUAGCAACUAAACUUGGCCACCACAGCAGAGUCACAUGUAGCUGAUCUGUAGACUACACUACUACUGUGUGUGCGACUUGUGUGACUUUGCAAUGAUAGCAGGUGGGCCAUAUUGGGUAUGUAUGUAGGCUCUAAUUUGUCCUGAAAUAGCUAUUGGUUGGUCAAAAUUUGCUUUAGCAAGACUCCCUGUGAUAUAAUAAUUUAAGCCUAGAAGCUCCAUUUCUCAUUUUAUUCUCCCUUUGCUGUUACAAACUCUAUUUCAAAUGUUCUUUUGGAAACUGAUGGGUGUAGAGAGUAGGCCUAUGGUGCCUGUCUGUACCUUUUAGUGAUAACAUGACCUUAGGUUAAUUGCUUAAAA
rnacentral:lncRNA from 1 species